AUGCGGAAUGAAGCAGGGCAAAGACUAAUAGAGUUUUGCCAAGAAAAUGCACUGGUCAUAGCAAACACCCUCUUCCAACAACAUAAGAGAAGACCCUACACAUGGACAUCACCAGAUGGUCAACACCAAAAUGAGAUUGAGUAUAUUCUUUGCAGCCAAAGAUGGAGAAGCUCUAUACAGUCAACAAAAACAAGACCAGGAGCUGACUGUGGCUCAGAUCAUGAACUCCUUAUUACCAAAUUCAGACUCAAACUGAAGAAAGUAGGGAAAACCACUAGACCAUUCAGGUAUGACCUAAAUCAAAUUCCUUAUGAUUAUACAGUGGAAGUGAGAAAUAGAUUUAAGGGCUUAGAUCUGAUAGAUAGAGUGCCUGAUGAACUAUGGACAGAGGUUCAUGACAUUGUACAGGAGACAGGGAUCAAGACCACCCCCAUGGAAAAGAAAUGCAAAAAAGCAAAAUGGCUGUCUGGGGAGGCCUUACAAAUAGCUGUGAAAAGAAGAGAGGUGAAAAGCAAAGGAGAAAAGGAAAGACAUAAGCAUCUGAAUGCAGAGUUCCAAAGAAUAGCAAGAAGAGAUAAGAAAGCCUUCUUCAGAGAUCAAUGGAAAGAAAUAGAGGAAAACAACAGAAUGGGAAAGACUAGAGAUCUCUUCAAGAAAAUUAGAGAUACCAAGGGAACACUUCAUGCAAAGAUGGGCUCGAUAAAGGACAGAAAUGGUAUGGACCUAACAGAAGCAGAAGAUAUUAAAAAGAGGUGGCAAGAAUACACAGAAGAACUGUACAAAAAACAUCUUCAUGACCCAGAUAAUCAUGAUGAUGUGAUCACUAAUCUAGAGCCAGACAUCUUGGAAUGUGAAGUCAAGUGGGCCUUAGAAAGCAACACUACGAACAAAGCUAGUGGAGGUGAUGGAAUUCCAGUUGAGCUGUUUCAAAUCCUGAAAGAUGAUGCUGUGAAAGUGCUGCCCUCAAUAUGCCAGCAAAUUUGGAAAAUUCAGCAGUGGCCACAGGGCUGGAAAAGGUCAGUUUUCAUUCCAAUCCCAAAGAAACGCAAUGCCAAAGAAUGCUCCAACUACCGCACAAUUGCACUCAUCUCACAUGCUAGUAAAGUAAUGCUCAAAAUUCUCCAAGCCAGGCUUCAGCAAUACGUGAACCAUGAACUCCCUGAUGUUCAAGCUAGUUUUAGGAAAGGCAGAGGAACCAGAGAUCAAAUUGCCAACAUCAGCUGGAUUGUGGAAAAAGCAAGAGAGUUCCAGAAAAACAUCUAUUUCUCCCCUAUUGACUAUGCCAAAGCCUCUGACUGUGUAGAUCACAGUAAACUGUGGAAAAUUCUGAAAGAGAUGGGGAUACCAGACCUCCUAACCUGCCUCUUGAGAAAUCUGUAUGCAGCUCAGGAAGCAACAGUUAGAACUGGACAUGGAACAACAGACUGGUUCCAAAUAGGAAAAGGAGUAUGUCAAGGCUGUAUAUUGUCACCCUGCUUAUUUAACUUCUAUGCAGAGUACAUCAUGAGAAACGCUGGACUGGAAGAAACACAAGCUGGGAUCAAGAUUGCUGGGAGAAAUAUCAAUAACCUCAGAUAUGCAGAUGACACCACCCUUAUGGCAGAAAGUGAAGAGGAGCUAACAAGCCUCUUGAUGAAAGUGAAAGAGGAGAGCAAAAAAGUUGGCUUAAAGCUCAACAUUCAGAAAACGAAGAUCAUGGCGUCUGGUCCCAUCACUUUAUGGGAAAUAGAUGGGGAAUCAGUGGAAACAGUAGAAACAGUGUCAGACUUUAUUUUUGGGGGCUCUAAAAUCACUGCAGAUGGUGAUUGCAGCCAUGAAAUUAAAAGAUGCUUACUCCUUGGAAGUAAAGUUAUGAGCAACCUAGAUAGUAUAUUCAAAAGCAGAGACAUUACUUUGCCGACUAAGGUCAGUCUAGUCAAGGCUAUGGUUUUUCCAGUCGUCAUGUAUGGAUGUGAGAGUUGGACUGUGAAGAAGGCUGAGUGCCAAAGAAUUGAUGCUUUUGAACUGUGGUGUUGGAGAAGACUCUUGAGAGACCCUUGGACUGCAAGGAGAUCCAACCAGUCCAUUCUGAAGAUCAACCCUGGGAUUUCUUUGGAAGGAAUGAUGCUAAAGCUGAAACUCCAGUACCUUGGCCACCUCAUGUGA
rnacentral:lncRNA from 1 species